CUUGGCCUGCUUGACUGCGGGAGCCCCUCGUGCUCCAAAGAGGGGGACAUGGCCUUGACGACGCGGGAGUCGCGGGCUCUGAAGUCGCCGCAUCUGGCUUGAGGAUCCCUGGGUCGGGGGCACAUAAAUCAAGAUAUUACGCGAGAGAUCGGUAUUUGCAGGGAGGAGCCUGUCCGCCAUUGGUGCCUCGGGGAGUCCGCCCUGCUGGGGCACAGCGACAGCUCUUGUCCCCUCUGUUUCCUCUGCACACGUUGAUUUUCUCUUUUUUUUUUUUUUCUUUUCUUCUACUGUAAAGAACACCGCUUUUCACCUUUGUUAUGCAGAUAGAGAGAUAACGCAGGAAUGCCCAGCUGAAGUCUUGCUUGGAAACAAGAUGAGAAAGGCGGGACUGCUAUCAAACGGUACAAGAUUUUUGCACGAUUUUCGGACAAGGAAGAUGAAUCUGCUGGAUGAUACCACAGUGGGGUGAUAAGCCCCUCGCUCUGGCUGUUGUUAAAACCAGCCUGCAUUUUGAAUUCUUCUAGUGUUUCUUCUAUCAACUGCUAAUUUGUAUUUCUUGACUGCCAUUUAUUUAUACUGUGGCUGCUGCCCAGGCUAAGGGGAAAAAACCCCAACCAACCAACCAAAAGCCAAAAACCCCCCCCACAAAACCAAAACAGGGAACAGUUGGGAUGUUCCAGCUUGCUCUGACAGAAAAUGUUAUUUUGAUUCUGCAGGCUUCACAGCCGAGAGAGAGAUGGAUCAACCUACAUGAUAAAAUACUUCUGUAAGGAGCCCAUGGUCAUUAAAUCCUUCCCCUCCCCUUGUCCUUUCUGUCCUAGAAAACUUGAUGUAUGGGUGCAUGGUACAGAAACAACCCUGUCAUACUAACUAGGCUGAUGCAAACAAACCUUUUUUCCUCUCCAGAUGUCAUGUCUAUAUACCACAUUUUUGAGAGUUUGAUUGUUUCAGGUCUCUGCACUCCGCAUACAAAUGAUACUGGCUCUUCACAUGUAGGGAGGGAUUCCAAACAGAAACCAAAUCCUCUUCCCAAAGACGUUGCAGUGUUUUCCUGUCAUGGAAUUCCUCUGUUGUCUUCCCAACUAUUUUCUAAGAGAACCAUGAAAAUACCAGCCCAAACUAGGAUGCUAGCAAUUUGGAAGCCUUGAAAAAAAUAGUUAAGCACUUGAAUAGGAUUUUUUUUUUUAGGGGAAGUUGUUUUACUGUUAUUUGGU